rnacentral:rRNA from 1 species
UUUGAUGGCGACCGGCGCACGGGUGAGUAACACGUAUCCAACCUGCCGAUGACUCGGGGAUAGCCUUUCGAAAGAAAGAUUAAUACCCGAUGGCAUAAUUCUUCCGCAUGGUAGAACUAUUAAAGAAUUUCGGUCAUCGAUGGGGAUGCGUUCCAUUAGGUUGUUGGCGGGGUAACGGCCCACCAAGCCUUCGAUGGAUAGGGGUUCUGAGAGGAAGGUCCCCCACAUUGGAACUGAGACACGGUCCAA